UACGAAGGGUGCAAACGUUGCUCGGAAUUAUUGGGCGUAAAGCGCACGUAGGCGGCAUUGCAAGUCGGAUGUGAAAUCCCUCGGCUUAACCAAGGAAGUGCAUCCGAAACUGCAGUGCUUGAGUACUUAAGGGGAUCGCGGAAUUCCCGGUGUAGAGGUGAAAUUCGUAGAUAUCGGGAGGAACACCAGUGGCGAAGGCGGCGAUCUGGGAAGAUAUUGACGCUGAGGUGCGAAAGCGUGGGGAGCAAACAGG
rnacentral:rRNA from 1 species